AAAGUACUCCCUCCGUCCCAAAAUUCUUGUCUUAGAUUUGUCUAGAAAUGGAUGUAUCAAGUCACAUUUUAGUAUUAGAUACAUCUGUACCUAGACAAAUCUAAGACAAGAGGGAGUAGUUG
rnacentral:pre_miRNA from 1 species